rnacentral:rRNA from 1 species
UAGCUUUUUAAUUGAAAGAGAGGAUGAAUGGAAUCACCAGAAAUUAAAAUUUUGGCCCAAAAAUUGAAAUUUACUUUUUGUGAAAAAUCAAAAAUCUUGCUUUUAGACGAUAAGACCCUAUGAAGCUUUACCACUAAGUGGUUUUUUUGGGGAAAAGAAAAAAUAGGGUAUUAUUUUUAAGUGAAAAAGUGAUCUUUUUGAAUUAAAUGAAAAAGCUACUCUAGGGAUAACAGCAUAAUUCUUAUUAAAGUUCUUAUUGAAGUAAGAGAUUGUGACCUCGAUGUUGAAUUAAGAAAGUUAAUUUGUGCAGCCGCGAUUAAUUAUUAGUCUGUUCGACUAUGCUAUUCUU